UACGUAGGGCGCAAGCGUUAUCCGGAAUUAUUGGGCGUAAAGAGCUCGUAGGCGGCUCGUCGCGUCGACCGUGAAAACCCGCGGCUUAACUGCGGGCUUGCGGUUGAUACGGGCGGGCUAGAGUUCGGUAGGGGAGACUGGAAUUCCUGGUGUAGCGGUGAAAUGCGCAGAUAUCAGGAGGAACACCGGUGGCGAAGGCGGGUCUCUGGGCCGAUACUGACGCUGAGGAGCGAAAGCGUGGGGAGCGAACAGG
rnacentral:rRNA from 1 species